rnacentral:snRNA from 1 species
GUGCUCGGGUUUCUCUUCAUAACGCAUAAAUCUUUCGCCUUUUACUAAAGAUUUCCGUGGAGAGGGACAUGCCUGAGUUUGUGCUAUUUUUGGAGGCCCCGUUCUUCUGGACGGGGC